UGAUGUAAGUUGAAGUACUGAACGAACCCUGUCAUAUGAAGCAGAGCAGUUUAAUGUGUGUCUGAAAAGGAUGUCGUGAAUAACCUUUAGCCAAACGUCUCCAUGGGAACCUGAGGGGUGGUUAUUUCAUUCGUUGCAUCUCCAGGCAAAUGUUUUCAAGACGUAUCGAGUUCUCUUUAAAUGUAACAAGCAGUAAGUUACCUCCAAUAGAAGCUAACGGUACGACGAACUACACGCAGCAGACGACGUCCCGGUGUAUUAACGUCGAGGCCAGUAAGCUGAAUUGUUUAUUGACAGGCGUUUUGAAGGAUGACAUCAACAACAUGCUGUCCAGCUCCAUGUCAUAACAGAAAUGCGUUGACCUGGCUUCUAUGCCCAAACAUUGAUCAUGUGUCCUCUGCAUUGCAAAUUCUUGUUCACCUUGCUCAGGAGGACAAAGGUGAACUUGUCGAAAAGGUUCUUCAGCACUGCAACCCAGAAUUAUGCAUAGAUGCUCUUCGAAAACUGCUGAAGUCACCUGCCUCAUGGCUGAGUAGUACUGGAGCUUGUAUCUUUGGGGUCCUGCUGGAAAAUGAGUCCAUGGUGCUGAAACUUCAGAAGGGGACCAAAGGGGAAAGCAAUCUCAUAUGUGACCUUGUUCAGAUGUUUACUGAAGAUGAUCCUGAUGUUGUGAUGAAUGCUGCUGGAGCCAUAGCCUCAUUGGUUGAAACUACAUCAGGACGGACAUGGUUCCUUCAGAUCCAAAGUGUGUUCAGUGGGGUCCUUGAGAGCCUAUCAGUUCUUCUAGAGAAUGAGAGAGAGAAUACGGUUAACUCUGCAGCACUUAUUCUUGCACGACUGUCCCAGUGUGAAGAAACCUGUGAAAAGGUUUUAUCCCAUUCAUCUGCCUGCAAGAUCUUCAGAUGUUUAACACAAUGCUUGUCGUGUAGUCACAAAGACACAGCCAUGAAUGCGGCAUUUGCUGUUGGCCGUCUGUGUGGUAGCAAACAAGCCAAGAUCCUCAUUCUGAGAGUGGCCAAAGAGCAUCAGCUGGUUAGUCGCCUGCAGACUCUGCUGUUGAGUGGGUCAGGAGUGGAGAUGGGGCAAACAGUGUGCUUUGCUCUGAGCUGCUUAGCAAAUGAGGAAGAUGGCCAUGCUCUGCUGAUGGAAAGCACCUGUGUCCCUACAUUGCUGAAUGGUCUUUUACAGCUGUUGCAGAGCCCAGACCCAGACAGUAUCUGGUUUGCUGCUAUGACAGUACGAAUACUGGUUUCCCGGCCGAGUGGAGUGGUCCCUGUCAGGAUCCAUUGCUCUCUGCAUGAGCAGUUGAAGAUUCUCUCUAUGUCACCAUCCACUGGGCUAGAGCUGCAGGAGGAGGUCAACAUGUGUCUCAGGAAACUGGAGCGUUUAUCCAAACCACAUCCAGUGAUGGUUACAAACCUCUCAUCAACGAGCUGCACUGUAUCAUGGGAAAAGUGUAGACCUGAAAGUGGCCUGGAGGUCAUAUACAGUCUCUUUCACAAGGAUGUCAUGCUGUACCAUGGCCUGUUGUGUCAGAGCAGCUGGACACGAGACUUUAGCCUCCACGAGAGCUCUGUGUGAUUGGCUCUACAGCUACACAGGUACGCCUGUGCUGGAUAGAACCAGAGGGAGGAGCCAAACCCAAAUCAUACCAGAUCUACUGUAAUGACACACUGGUGAAGACCACUGCUCUGCUGGGGGCUACAGUUGGCUGUUUAUCUCCUGGCACCUCCUAUCAGCUGAGUGUGAGUUCACUUGGUCCAGGGGACACAGAGAGUCCUAGAGCAGUAACUGAGGUGAGGACAGCGGAAGAUCAAGAUCAUGCUCCUUCUGCGGUCACUGUAGUUGUCCUGGGACGACAUGAACUGCAGAUAAACUGGGGAGCUCCAGUCGCUCCUUUGGGGAGACUCUUCAAAUAUGAGCUAAGUCUAAAUGGGUGUGUGGUGUACCUGGGCACAGAAAGGUCAUACACUGCUUGUCGCCUGUCUGCUAACACAGCAUACACCUGUGUUGUGACAGCUAUCACCUCCAGGGGGCGCUGCCAGAGCAGUCCGGUCACAAAGAAGACAGCACGGGAUGAAUUCCUGCACUCACAUAGGUAUCUGCACUCUCAUAGCCACCAGUCAGCCUCAAAACACUCCACUCCUUCUUCAAGCAUCCAAGUGAUAAGUGAAGUCAAAAAGAAUGACACAGUUUCUCCAGCUACACUCAAUUCUAAGGUCCAUCCCACUAUGAUCCCGCACAGAGCCCUUGACCUUAGAAAAGACAGGCACAGGCAAACAUCAGUUCCUAAAGGGAUUCAACCUUCCAGUCACACAUCUAAGGAACAUUAUGAGUACAUGUUCCGGUCCUUGACCAUAUCAUCAACCCCAGAGGAUCUCAGACACUUUAAGGCCAAGAUCAGCCCAGCCAGACCGCAGUGGAACUCAGACAGAAAAGUUCCCAUAGACAGAGAGAAACUUCCAGGCAUCAGCAAACAAAUCUCAGAGGAUGUGAGACUGCUUCAGCCUGUUUCGUUUAGUUGGUCUAAUCUGGAAUGGACCAAACAACAUCAAAACAGACCACAAAGAAAUAAAGCCAUUUUGAAGGUCCAAUGUCAGGAAAGAGGAAGACGAUAUCAAAUAUCAUCACAAACCAAACUCACGUAACAAAUUGUGGACAUCUAGGCUACCAAAAUCAGUGUUUAUAUUAAUACAUAUUUAUUUUAUUUGAAUAUAAAUGAAUGGAUUUAAGAUGUUUCUUUCUCAAUAAUUAACAAAAUCUCAG
ensembl:lncRNA